GUAGUAUACCUAAGAGUGGGUGUGUAGUAAUUAGUUUUGCCAGAGGACGGUUGGCGAGAGUUUAUCACUCUUGUUUGCCUACUUUUGGUAGACUUUAGUCGGGCUGGACCUUUGGUCUUCGUCUGACAGUUGCUACGUGCUUACUUACCACGGUUCAUCCGUGAGGCCCUUGGCUUGCAACUGUAAAUAAAUCGUUGUGCUUAAAGCGGGCUAUGAUACUCUGCCAGAGCGAUUUAGCAUGGGACUGCAGAGUAGCUGUAUUUGGGUGAAGGUUGUGUUUCGGCAUGACUGGAGCCUGGUACAGCGCUUGUAAUGGAGCUCAGGGUGAGGCCCCGGGUACCAUGAGGCUAGAGGUGAAAUUCUGAGACCCUCAUGUGACCAACUAAGGCGAAAGCUGUCGUGGGCCACCACAAGCUCGUCUAUCAGGGACGAAAGUUGGGGGAUCGAAGACGAUUAGAUACCGUCGUAGUCCCAACUAUAAACGAUACCAACCGAGUAUUUGGGAAGACACUAUCCCAGCGAUCUUCUCAGAACUCAAGGGAAACCUUAAGUCUUUGGGUUCUGGGGGGAGUAUAGUCGCAAGACCGAAACUUAAAGGAAUUGACGGAAAGGCACCACCAGGAGUGGAGUCUGCGGCUUAAUUCGACUCAACACGGGGAAACUCACCAGGUCAGGACACAGUUNUGAUUGACA
rnacentral:rRNA from 1 species